UGCCCCUGACUCUGGAAUAACCGUGGGAAACGACGGCUAAUACCGGAUAUGAGACGUCCACGCAUGUGAGCGUCUGGAAAGAUUUAUCGGUCUGGGAUGGACUCGCGGCCUAUCAGCUUGUUGGUGGGGUAAUGGCCCACCAAGGCGACGACGGGUAGCCGGCCUGAGAGGGCGACCGGCCACACUGGGACUGAGAUACGGCCCAGACUCCUACGGGAGGCAGCAGUGGGGAAUAUUGCACAAUGGGCGCAAGCUGAUGCAGCGACGCCGCGUGGGGGAUGAAGGCCUUCGGGUUGUAAACCCUUUCAGCAGGGAAGAAGCGAAAGUGACGGUACCUGCAGAAGAAGCGCCGGCUAACUACGUGCCAGCAGCCGCGGUAAUACGUAGGGCGCAACGUUGUCCGGAAUUAUUGGGCGUAAAGAGCUCGUAGGCGGUUUGUCGCGUCUGCUGUGAAAACCCGAGGCUCAACCUCGGGCUUGCAGUGGGUACGGGCAGACUAGAGUGCGGUAGGGGUGACUGGAAUUCCUGGUGUAGCGGUGGAAUGCGCAGAUAUCAGGAGGAACACCGAUGGCGAAGGCAGGUCACUGGGCCGCAACUGACGCUGAGGAGCGAAAGCAUGGGGAGCGAACAGGAUUAGAUACCCUGGUAGUCCAUGCCGUAAACGUUGGGCACUAGGUGUGGGGCUCAUUCCACGAGUUCCGUGCCGCAGCAAACGCAUUAAGUGCCCCGCCUGGGGAGUACGGCCGCAAGGCUAAAACUCAAAGGAAUUGACGGGGGCCGCACAAGCGGCGGAGCAUGCGGAUUAAUUCGAUGCAACGCGAAGAACCUUACCAAGGCUUGACAUACACCGGAAAAGUGCAGAGAUGUGCUCCCCGCAAGGUCGGUGUACAGGUGGUGCAUGGUUGUCGUCAGCUCGUGUCGUGAGAUGUUGGGUUAAGUCCCGCAACGAGCGCAACCCUCGUCCUAUGUUGCCAGCACGUUAUGGUGGGGACUCAUAGGAGACUGCCGGGGUCAACUCGGAGGAAGGUGGGGAUGACGUCAAAUCAUCAUGCCCCUUAUGUCUUGGGCUUCACGCAUGCUACAAUGGCCGGUACAAAGGGCUGCGAUACCGCAAGGUGGAGCGAAUCCCAAAAAGCCGGUCUCAGUUCGGAUUGGGGUCUGCAACUCGACCCCAUGAAGUCGGAGUCGCUAGUAAUCGCAGAUCAGCAACGCUGCGGUGAAUACGUUCCCGGGCCU
rnacentral:rRNA from 1 species